UACGAAGGGGGCUAGCGUUGUUCGGAAUUACUGGGCGUAAAGCGUGCGCAGGCGGCUUCUCAAGUCAGGGGUGAAAGCCCAGAGCUCAACUCUGGAAUUGCCUUUGAGACUGAGUGGCUUGAGUACGAGAGAGGUGAGUGGAAUUCCCAGUGUAGAGGUGAAAUUCAUAGAUAUUGGGAAGAACACCGGUGGCGAAGGCGGCUCACUGGCUCGUAACUGACGCUCAUGCACGACAGCGUGGGGAUCAAACAGG
rnacentral:rRNA from 1 species